rnacentral:rRNA from 1 species
GCAGAUUUAAAAUGAAUUCGCCCUUGAGUUUGAUCAUGGYUCAGAUUGAACKUUGGCGGCAUGCCUUACACAUGCAAGUCGAACGGCAGCAUGAUCUAGCUUGCUAGAUUGAUGGCGAGUGGCGAACGGGUGAGUAAUACAUCGGAACGUGCCCUGUAGUGGGGGAUAACUAGUCGAAAGAUUAGCUAAUACCGCAUACGACCUGAGGGUGAAAGUGGGGGACCGCAAGGCCUCAUGCUAUAGGAGCGGCCGAUGUCUGAUUAGCUAGUUGGUGGGGUAAAGGCCCACCAAGGCGACGAUCAGUAGCUGGUYUGAGAGGACGAUCAGCCACACUGGGACUGAGACACGGCCCAGACUCCUACGGGAGGCAGCAGUGGGGAAUUUUGGACAAUGGGCGAAAGCCUGAUCCAGCAAUGCCGCGUGUGUGAAGAAGGCCUUCGGGUUGUAAAGCACUUUUGUCCGGAAAGAAAUGGCUCUGGUUAAUACCUGGGGUCGAUGACGUACCGAGAAUUU